rnacentral:lncRNA from 1 species
AAAGCCUGUUUGGUGAUCUCUUCACAUGGAUGCACAUGAAAUUUGGUGCUGUGACUCAGAUCGGGGGACCUCCCUUGGGAGAUCAAUCCCCUGUACUCCUGUUCUUUGCUCCAUGACAAAGAUCCACCUAUGACCUCAGGUCCUCAGACCGACCAGCCCAAGGAACAUCUCACCAAUUGUAAAUCAGCCGGUCCCUCCGUUUGGGGUCCCUGACUUCCCGUGACACUGUUGGUGAAGUAUGAAGUUAUGAGGAGAAAGGAACAGAGGACAACCACACAGAGAAAGUGUAGCUUUAUCUACUAGAGCUGAAGACAUUCAAAUUUAUGAUCCAACAAUUCUACUCUGAAGUGCAGUGGUGUAUAUACUGCAACAAUGUGUACUCAUGUGCCCUGAGAACUAGAUAUGAAAAAACCUUACAGCAAUAUGCAUAAUAGUAAAAAAAAAAAAAAAAA